CGGACGGGUGAGUAAUGUAUGGGGAUCUGCCUGGUGGCGGGGGAUAACUACUGGAAACGGUAGCUAAUACCGCAUAAUGUCUACGGACCAAAGCGGGGGACCUUCGGGCCUCGCGCCAUCAGAUGAACCCAUAUGGGAUUAGCUUGUAGGUGAGGUAACGGCUUACCUAGGCGACGAUCCCUAGCUGGUCUGAGAGGAUGAUCAGCCACACUGGGACUGAGACACGGCCCAG
rnacentral:rRNA from 1 species